rnacentral:rRNA from 1 species
AUGCACGCUUACAAACAAUAUUCUCAAAUGACCUGGCCACAUUGUAACGACAAGCACCCAAUCCUUUUUUACAUAAAAGAUGCACUAACUAGUGGCGGACUUACAUUUCUCCACCACACAUUCCCUUGGUAUCUUCUCUCACCUUAUCCACACAGUGCUGAUGCGUUAUCUUCUCCGUGCUUUUCUUCUUCGCUGCACUCUCAGACAAGCAACAUCUUGAUUCAGAAACCAACCGCAAUGGUGGCCAUUUUUCUGGAUAAGCCUCCCUGUACUCUUCAUUUUCGCAGCUGGACUGGCGCAUCAGCAGAAGCUGACCUGCAAUGGUGGCCAAUUUUCUGGCGGGAGUAA